UACGGAGGGUGCGAGCGUUAAUCGGAAUUACUGGGCGUAAAGCGCAUGCAGGUGGUUCAUUAAGUCAGAUGUGAAAGCCCGGGGCUCAACCUCGGAACUGCAUUUGAAACUGGUGAACUAGAGUACUGUAGAGGGGGGUAGAAUUUCAGGUGUAGCGGUGAAAUGCGUAGAGAUCUGAAGGAAUACCAGUGGCGAAGGCGGCCCCCUGGACAGAUACUGACACUCAGAUGCGAAAGCGUGGGGAGCAAACAGG
rnacentral:rRNA from 2 species